UGGCUCUGUGGUUAAGAGCACUGGCUGUUCUUCCAGAGGACCUGGGUUCAAUUCCCAG
rfam:Cricetulus griseus cell line CHO-K1, whole genome shotgun sequence.